CCCAGGGCAAGCGCCAGCUCAUGUCAUCACCCUCACUGAGCCCCGGGUACAUUUAACUAUUGAGUGCCACGAAAUUAACUUCCUCCUGGACACUGGUGCAUCUUUCUCAGUGUUAAUCUCCUGUCCCAGACAGCUGUCCUCAAGGUCCGUUACCAUCUGAGGAAUCCUGGGACAGCCAGUAAACAGGUACUUCUCCCACCUCCUCAGUUCUAACUGGGAGACUUUGCUACAGAUGGAUGGAUGCCAUCAAGCUAUAGAGGUCUUACAAAUGGAACCCUAAAUGAGGUCAACUAACAACUUCUACUGAGGCCCCUGGAUCAACUCACUGGCCCUUUGUCUGGCCUAGAGAGUUCUCCUCUGGAGGACGCUACCACUGCAGGCCCCCUUCUUCACCCCUAUCCAGCAGGAAGUAGCUAAAGUAGUCAUCGCCCAAUUCCCACAGCAGUUGAGGUGUCCUAUUUGGAGGGGGGAUUGACAGGUGAAGCCAGCUGGGCUUCUGGGUCAGGUGGGGACUUGGAGAACUUUUCUGUCUAGCUAGAGGAUUGUAAACGCACCAAAGCUCUGUGUCUAGCUAGAGGAUUGUAAACACACCAGUCAGCAUUCUGUAAAAAUGAACCAAUCAGCACUCUGUAAAAUGGACCAAUCAGCACUCUGUAAAAUGGACCAAUCAGCAGGACAUGGGUGGGGCCAAAUAAGGGAAUAAAAGCUGGCCACCAGAGCCAGUAGUGGCAACCUGCUUGGGUCCCCUUCCAUGCUGUGGAAGCGUUAUUCUUUCAUUCUUCAUAAUAAAUCUUGCUGCUGCUCACUCUUUGGGUCUACACUACCUUUAUGAGCUGUAACACCAUGAGGGUCUGUGGCUUCAUUCCUGAAGUCAGUGAGACCAUGAACCCACCAGAAGGAACAAACUCCGUAUGUGCCACCUUUAAGGGCUGUAACACUCACCACGAGGUCUGCAGCUUCAUUCUUGAAGUCAGCGAGACCAAGAGCCCACCAGAAGGAAUAAAUUCCGGACACAAACUCAGAAUACUCUAAUACUAUAAUUGUAGUGUGCAAUCCACUUAUAAAUCAAAUAUGAAGCCUCAAAAAGCAAAUCUAUCAAAAACAAUCAUAGCUACAGAAACUUGUUAAGA
rnacentral:lncRNA from 10 species